rnacentral:rRNA from 1 species
CCUAGUGGCGAACGGGUGAGUAACGCGUAGACAACCUGCCUUUUAGACGGGGACAACGUUGCGAAAGUGACGCUAAUACCGGAUGAGGUAACUUCGGUGCAUGCCGGAGUUAAGAAAGAUGGCCUCUAUAUAAAAGCUAUCGCUAGAAGAUGGGUCUGCGUCUGAUUAGCUAGUUGGCGGGGUAAGAGCCCACCAAGGCGACGAUCAGUAGCCGGUCUGAGAGGAUGAACGGCCACACUGGGACUGAGACACGGCCCAGACUCCUACGGGAGGCAGCAGUGGGGAAUCUUCCGCAAUGGACGAAAGUCUGACGGAGCAACGCCGCGUGAGUGAAGACGGUUUUCGGAUUGUAAAGCUCUGUCUUCCGGGACGAACGUCAUGCUUGUGAAUAAUGAGCGUGAAUGACGGUACCGGAGGAGGAAGCCACGGCUAACUACGUGCCAGCAGCCGCGGUAAUACGUAGGUGGCGAGCGUUGUCCGGAAUUAUUGGGCGUAAAGCGCGCGCAGGCGGGAAUCUAAGUCUGUCUUAAAAGUGCAGGGCUUAACCCUGUGAUGGGACAGAAACUGGAUUUCUUGAGUGCAGGAGAGGACAGUGGAAUUCCCAGUGUAGCGGUGAAAUGCGUAGAUAUUGGGAGGAACACCAGUGGCGAAGGCGACUGUCUGGACUGUGUCUGACGCUGAGGCGCGAAAGCCAGGGAAGUGAACGGGAUUAGAUACCCCGGUAAUCCUGGCCGUAAACGAUGGGUACUAGGUGUUGGGGGUAUCGACCCCUCCAGUGCCGGAGUUAACGCAAUAAGUAC